GAUGAACGCUGGCGGCGUGCUUAACACAUGCAAGUCGAACGGUGAACACGGAGCUUGCUCUGUGGGAUCAGUGGCGAACGGGUGAGUAACACGUGAGCAACCUGCCCCUGACUCUGGGAUAAGCGCUGGAAACGGCGUCUAAUACUGGAUAUGUGACGUGACCGCAUGGUCUGCGUUUGGAAAGAUUUUUCGGUUGGGGAUGGGCUCGCGGCCUAUCAGCUUGUUGGUGAGGUAAUGGCUCACCAAGGCGUCGACGGGUAGCCGGUCUGAGAGGGUGACCGGCCACACUGGGACUGAGACACGGCCCAGACUCCUACGGGAGGCAGCAGUGGGGAAUAUUGCACAAUGGGCGCAAGCCUGAUGCAGCAACGCCGCGUGAGGGAUGACGGCCUUCGGGUUGUAAACCUCUUUUAGCAGGGAAGAAGCGAAAGUGACGGUACCUGCAGAAAAAGCGCCGGCUAACUACGUG
rnacentral:rRNA from 1 species